UCCCCUUACUUGUUUUCUUUGAAUCGGAGCAGCAGGACCUCCAUGGAUGAGGACGACCACCGGUACCUACACAAUGAUGUCGACGCCCCGCACAUGGCCGAGCUGGACGGAACAACGAUGCCUUGGUCGCUCGCCGUGGUCACGGGUGGCCUCCUCCGUUGCUCCCCAUUCGAUCUGGCGCUUGCAUGGUAUUUCAAAGAACUCUUCUAAUGGGGCAUUGUAUGAUGUGCUAUGGAAGUAAAGGAUUAAGUUUGAG
rnacentral:rRNA from 1 species